rnacentral:rRNA from 1 species
UACAGAGGGGGCAAGCGUUGUUCGGAAUUACUGGGCGUAAAGGGCGCGUAGGCGGCCUGUUAAGUCGAACGUGAAAUCCCUGGGCUCAACCCAGGAACUGCGUCCGAUCACUGGCAGGCUUGAAUCCGGGAGAGGGAUGUGGAAUUCCAGGUGUAGCGGUGAAAUGCGUAGAUAUCUGGAGGAACAUCAGUGGCGAAGGCGGCUACCUGGCCCAAUACUGACACUCAGGUGCGACAGCGUGGGGAGCAAACAGG